AGUUGCAACCGGUUUCUGAAGUAAUGUGCAGGACUCCUUACAUCAGCUCCUCUGAGUCUCGUGAUUCAGCCUUGCCUCCCUCUCUCCCCCUUUGCCCCCUCCCCGUCCCACCCUUAGGCGCUGGGAGAAGGGAGGGUGGGGAGGUCAGGGGCCUCUCAGAGGGGCCUCACUUGUUAACCCAGCCCCCAUUUCAGGUCUGAAGGGGCGUCUCGAUUACCUGAGCUCUCUGAAGGUGAAGGGCCUUGUGCUGGGUCCAAUUCACAAGAACCAGAAGGAUGAUGUCGCUCAGACUGACUUGCUGCAGAUCGACCCCAAUUUUGGCUCCAAGGAAGAUUUUGACAGUCUCUUGCAAUCGGCUAAAAAAAAGAUAGAGACAAUUUUCAACAUGUUGACCGGUCUGGUUUUGAACUCGCCUGGCCUGCCUUCCCAUAUCUUAAGGCCCUUCCUUGCUCACAUCUGUUUCAAUGGAAUGAAUUUUGCCCGGGUUCAAAUUCAAGCUUUUGUACCAAGCAUCCGUGUCAUUCUGGACCUUACUCCCAACUACCGGGGUGAGAACUCGUGGUUCUCCACUCAGGUUGACACUGUGGCCACCAAGGUGAAGGCCUCAGGAAACUGGGAGAGGGGGGAUCUUGACUGACAUUUUAGAUCCUGUCUGCUGCUCACUGAUUAUGACUGUGGACGCGUCUCCCUGCUUCUCUGGGUCUGUUUCUUCAUCUCUAAAAUAGGAUGCUCUGGAGUUUUGGCUGCAAGCUGGCGUGGAUGGGUUCCAGGUUCGGGACAUAGAGAAUCUGAAGGAUGCAUCCUCAUUCUUGGCUGAGUGGCAAAAUAUCACCAAGGGCUUCAGUGAAGACAGGCUCUUGAUUGCGGGGACUAACUCCUCCGACCUUCAGCAGAUCCUGAGCCUACUCGAAUCCAACAAAGACUUGCUGUUGACUAGCUCAUACCUGUCUGAUUCUGGUUCUACUGGGGAGCAUACAAAAUCCCUAGUCACACAGUAUUUGAAUGCCACUGGCAAUCGCUGGUGCAGCUGGAGUUUGUCUCAGGCAAGGCUCCUGACUUCCUUCUUGCCGGCUCAACUUCUCCGACUCUACCAGCUGAUGCUCUUCACCCUGCCAGGGACCCCUGUUUUCAGCUACGGGGAUGAGAUUGGCCUGGAUGCAGCUGCCCUUCCUGGACAGCCUAUGGAGGCUCCAGUCAUGCUGUGGGAUGAGUCCAGCUUCCCUGACAUCCCAGGGGCUGUAAGUGCCAACAUGACUGUGAAGGGCCAGAGUGAAGACCCUGGCUCCCUCCUUUCCUUGUU
rnacentral:lncRNA from 10 species